rnacentral:rRNA from 1 species
UACGUAGGGGGCAAGCGUUUGUCCGGAAUCAUUGGGCGUAAAGAGCGUGUAGGCGGCUCGAUAAGUCUGCUGUGAAAGUCCAGGGCUCAACCCUGGAAGGCCGGUGGAAACUGUCGGGCUAGAGUCCGGAAGAGGCGAGUGGAAUUCCCGGUGUAGCGGUGAAAUGCGCAGAUAUCGGGAGGAACACCAAUGGCGAAGGCAGCUCGCUGGGACGGUACUGACGCUGAGACGCGAAAGCGUGGGGAGCAACAGGG